rnacentral:rRNA from 1 species
AUGGUGGAAUUUGCCAGCAGUGUGAAAGGAAUCGCCUUAAAUCUUGAGAAUGAGAAUGUAGGUAUUGUUGUCUUUGGUAGUGAUACCGCUAUUAAAGAAGGAGAUCUUGUCAAGCGCACUGGAUCUAUUGUGGAUGUUCCUGCGGGAAAGGCCAUGUUAGGCCGUGUGGUCGACGCCUUGGGAGUACCUAUUGAUGGAAAAGGGGCUCUAAGCGAUCACGAACGAAGACGUGUCGAAGUGAAAGCCCCAGGGAUUAUUGAACGUAAAUCUGUGCACGAACCCAUGCAAACAGGCUUAAAAGCAGUGGAUAGCCUGGUUCCUAUAGGCCGUGGUCAACGAGAACUUAUAAUCGGGGACAGACAAACUGGAAAAACUGCAAUAGCUAUCGAUACUAUAUUAAACCAAAAGCAAAUGAACUCAAGGGGCACAAAUGAGAGUGAGGCUCGACUGUGGCACAAUUAG